rnacentral:rRNA from 1 species
UACGGAGGAUGCAAGCGUUAUCCGGAAUGAUUGGGCGUAAAGCGUCCGCAGGUGGCAAUGUAAGUCUGCUGUCAAAGCGUCUGGCUCAACCAGAUAAAGGCAGUGGAAACUACAUAGCUAGAGUAAGGUAGGGGUAGAGGGAAUUCCUGGUGUAGCGGUGAAAUGCGCAGAUAUCAGGAAGAACACCCAUGGCGAAAGCAGCUCUCUGGGACGGUACUGACGCUGAGACGCGAAAGCGUGGGGAGCGAACAGG